rnacentral:rRNA from 1 species
AACGAACGCUGGCGGCAGGCUUAACACAUGCAAGUCGAACGCCCCGCAAGGGGAGCGGCAGACGGGUGAGUAACGCGUGGGAAUCUACCCAUCUCUGCGGAAUAACGCAUGGAAACGUGUGCUAAUACCGUAUACGUCCUUCGGGAGAAAGAUUUAUCGGAGAUGGAUGAGCCCGCGUUGGAUUAGCUAGUUGGUGGGGUAAAGGCCUACCAAGGCGACGAUCCAUAGCUGGUCUGAGAGGAUGAUCAGCCACACUGGGACUGAGACACGGCCCAGACUCCUACGGGAGGCAGCAGUGGGGAAUAUUGGACAAUGGGCGCAAGCCUGAUCCAGCCAUGCCGCGUGAGUGAUGAAGGCCCUAGGGUUGUAAAGCUCUUUCACCGGUGAAGAUAAUGACAGUAACCGGAGAAGAAGCCCCGGCUAACUUCGUGCCAGCAGCCGCCGUAAUAC